GACGGAGGAUGCAAGUGUUAUCCGGAAUUACUGGGCGUAAAGCGUGCGCAGGCGGUUUUGUAAGCCAGGUGUGAAAUCCCCGGGCUCAACCUGGGAAUGGCAUUUGGGACUGCAAGGCUGGAGUGCGGCAGAGGAGACUGGAAUUCCUGGUGUAGCAGUGAAAUGCGUAGAUAUCAGGAGGAACACCGGUGGCGAAGGCGGCCCACUGGGCAGUCGACUGACGCUGGAGGCGCGAAAGCUCGGGGGAGCGAACAGG
rnacentral:rRNA from 1 species